rnacentral:rRNA from 1 species
ACACGGGGGGGGCGAGCGUUAUCCGGAAUUAUUGGGCGUAAAGCGAGUCUAGGCGGCUUGUUAAGUCAGAUGUGAAAAUGCGGGGCUCAACUCCGUAUUGCGUUUGAAACUGGCAGGCUAGAGUACUGGAGAGGUGGGCGGAACUACAAGUGUAGAGGUGAAAUUCGUAGAUAUUUGUAGGAAUGCCGAUAGUGAAGACAGCUCACUGGACAGAUACUGACGCUAAAGCUCGAAAGCGUGGGGAGCGAACAGGAUUAGAAACCCCAGUAGUCC